rnacentral:rRNA from 1 species
CCAAUAGCGUAUAUUAACGUUGUUGCAGUUAAAAAGCUCGUAGUUGAAUUUCAGGCCUGGCUGGGCGGUCCGCCCUUCGGGUGAGUACUGCCUGUGGUCGGGUCCUACCUUCUGGCGCAGCGUCAUGGCCUUCACCGGCCGUGGCGGGGAACCAGGACUUUUACUGGUAAAAAAUUAGAGUGUUCAAAGCAGGCACUCGCUUGGAUUCAUUCGCAUGGAAUAAUGGCAUAGGACAGUGGUUCUAUUUGUUGGUUUCUAGGACCGUUGUAAUGAUUAAUAGGGAUAGUUGGGGGCAUUAGUAUUCAAUUGUCAGAGGUGAAAUUCUUGGAUUUAUUGAAGACUAACUACUGCGAAAGCAUUUGCCAAGGAUGUUUUCAUUAAUCAAGAACGAAAGUUAGGGGAUCGAAGACGAUCAGAUACCGUCGUAGUCUUAACCAUAAACUAUGCCGACUAGGAAUCGGGCGAUGUUGACAAAAUGACGUGCUCGGCACCUCAUG